CAGCCGCCACGGGAAUACGUAGGGUGCAAGCGUUGUCCGGAAUUAUUGGGCGUAAAGAGCUCGUAGGCGGUUUGUCGCGUCUGCUGUGAAAACCCGAGGCUCAACCUCGGGCCUGCAGUGGGUACGGGCAGACUAGAGUGCGGUAGGGGAGAUUGGAAUUCCUGGUGUAGCGGUGGAAUGCGCAGAUAUCAGGAGGAACACCGAUGGCGAAGGCAGAUCUCUGGGCCGUAACUGACGCUGAGGAGCGAAAGCAUGGGGAGCGAACAGGAUUAGAUACCCCCGUAGUCCCUGUCUCUUAUAA
rnacentral:rRNA from 1 species